CGAAAGUUGUCAUAGCUUGGUCAAGUUGGCACCAUCCUCUGCUUUAUUUCAAAAUUUGUGGAAGCUGUCUAUAUCUAGAUGUCAUCAACUCGUCUAUUUGGUGACAAGUUCAACCGCCAAAAGCUUGGUGAGUCUUAGAUGGUUGUCGAUAGACAAUUGCAAAAGGAUGGAGGAAAUUGUACCGAAUGAGAACAAUGAAGGUGUACAAGGUGGAAUCACAUUUAACCAAUUGUCGUGGAUCAAACUUACUGAUAUGCCAAGAUUGAAGAUGUUCUCUUCACAAAGUCAGACAUUUGAAUUCCCUGAAUUAGAAGAGAUAGAAAUAACCAGAUGUCUUGAAAUGAAGGUGUUUUGUCCAGGAGUAUUGGAAACACCAAAGUUGUCUAGAGUAAAAAUUGAAGAGCAUGAGAUGAAAUGGAAGGAUAAAGAAGACCUUAACAAAACAGUAGAAAUGCUAUUCUCAGCAAAGGAUAGUGUUAAUAUAUAGAAGGAUAAGUCCAUCAUCCAUGUUACCAUUCUUUCCAGGCGGCUAAUCCGAAGUGUGGACUGCAAAAUCAUUGACUGCAAGAUGACGAAUAUGGACAGAUAUUUGUACGGU